rnacentral:rRNA from 1 species
GACGGACGCUGGCGGCGUGCCUAAUACAUGCAAGUUGAGCGCUGAAGGUUGGUACUUGUACCAACUGGAUGAGCAGCGAACGGGUGAGUAACGCGUGGGGAAUCUGCCUUUGAGCGGGGGACAACAUUUGGAAACGAAUGCUAAUACCGCAUAAAAACUUUAAACACAAGUUUUAAGUUUGAAAGAUGCAAUUGCAUCACUCAAAGAUGAUCCCGCGUUGUAUUAGCUAGUUGGUGAGGUAAAGGCUCACCAAGGCGAUGAUACAUAGCCGACCUGGGAGGGUGAUCCGCCACAUUUGGAAUGAGACACGGCCCAAACUCCUACGGGAGGCAGCAGUAGGGAAUCUUCGGCAAUGGACGAAAGUCUGACCGAGCAACGCCGCGUGAGUGAAGAAGGGUUUCGGAUCGUAAAACUCUGUUGGUAGAGAAGAACGUUGGUGAGAGUGGAAAGCUCAUCAAGUGACGGUAACUACACAGAAAGAGACGGCUAACUACGUG